rnacentral:rRNA from 1 species
UCAAGAAUCUUCCUCAAUGGCCGAAAGGCUGAAGGAGCGACGCCGCGUGUAUGAAGAAGCCCUUCGGGGUGUAAAGUACUUUUAACCGGGAAGAAACAAUGACGGUACCGGUUGAAUAAGGGGCUGCUAACCUCGUGCCAGCAGCAGCGGUAAUACGAGGGCCCCAAGCGUUAUCCGGAUUUAUUGGGCGUAAAGAGUACGUAGGCGGUUUAUCGCAUCUUUUGUUAAAUCAUGGAGCUCAACUCCGUGGCCGCGAAAGACAUGGAUAAACUAGAGGUCGGGAGAGGCAAAUGGAAUUGCUGGUGUAGGGGUUAAAUCCGUUAAUAUCAGCAGGAACACCAAAUGCGAAAGCAGUUUGCUGGAACGAUUCUGACGCUGAGGUACGAAAGCGUGGGUAGCGAAUGGG